AGAUUGAACGCUGGCGGCAUGCCUAACACAUGCAAGUCGAACGGGAGUAGCAAUACUCUAGUGGCGGACGGGUGAGGAAUACGUAGGAAUUUGCCCUUAAGUGGGGGAUAACCCGGGGAAACCCGGAUUAAUACCGCAUGACCUCGAAAGAGCAAAGUGGGGGAUCGCAAGACCUCACGCUUUUGGAGAAGCCUACGUCGGAUUAGCUAGUUGGUAGAGGUAAUGGCUCACCAAGGCGACGA
rnacentral:rRNA from 1 species